rnacentral:rRNA from 1 species
GACGAACGCUGGCGGCGUGCCUAACACAUGCAAGUCGAACGAGGUCCAAGGAAGCUUGCUUCCUGACGACCUAGUGGCGAACGGGUGAGUAACACGUGAGAAACCUGCCUCGGAGUGGGGAAUAACUCGGGGAAACUCGAGCUAAUACAGCAUAUCUUCACAUGAUCGCAUGGUCGAGUGAAGAAAGAAUUUCGCUCUGAGAGGGUCUCGCGGCCUAUCAGCUUGUUGGUGGGGUAACGGCCCACCAAGGCAACGACGGGUAGCUGGUUUGAGAGAACGAUCAGCCACACUGGGACUGAGACACGGCCCAGACUCCUACGGGAGGCAGCAGUGGGGAAUCUUGCGCAAUGGGCGAAAGCCUGACGCAGCAACGCCGCGUGCGGGAUGACGGCCUUCGUGGUUGUAAACCGCUUUCAGCAGGGACGAAAAUGACGGUACCUGCAGAAGAAGCCCCGGCUAACUACGUGCCAGCCGCCGCCGUAACAC